rnacentral:rRNA from 1 species
UACGGAGGAUGCGAGCGUUAUCCGGAAUUACUGGGUGUAAAGGGAGCGUAGACGGCGAGGUAAGCCUGAAGUGGAAGCCCGCGGCCCAACCCCGGAACUGCUCUGGAAACUGUGAAGCUGGAGUGCAGGAGAGGUAAGCGGAAUUCCUGGUGUAGCGGUGAAAUGCGUAGAUAUCAGGAGGAACACCGGCGGCGAAGGCGGCUUACUGGACUGUAACUGACACUGAGGCUCGAAAGCGUGGGGAGCAAACAGG